rnacentral:rRNA from 1 species
AACGCGAAGAACCUUACCAAGUCUUGACAUCCCUCUGACCGAUCCUUAACCGGAUCUUUCCUUCGGGACAGGGGAGACAGGUGGUGCAUGGUUGUCGUCAGCUCGUGUCGUGAGAUGUUGGGUUAAGUCCCGCAACGAGCGCAACCCCUAUCCUCAGUAGCCAGCAGUUAGGCUGGGCACUCUGAGGAGACUGCCAGGGAUAACCUGGAGGAAGGCGGGGAUGACGUCAAAUCAUCAUGCCCCUUAUGAUUUGGGCUACACACGUGCUACAAUGGCGUAAACAAAGGGAAGCAAGCCUGCGAAGGUAAGCAAAUCCCAAAAAUAACGUCCCAGUUCGGACUGCAGUCUGCAACUCGACUGCACGAAGCUGGAAUCGCUAGUAAUCGCGGAUCAGAAUGCCGCGGUGAAUACGUUCCCGGGUCUUGUACACACCG